rnacentral:lncRNA from 1 species
ACUAUUGGCAUUAAAUUGCAAAUUUAUGUUAGCUAAAGAAAUUUAAAGUGAAUGGUAACACUGUUCAUCAAUUUCAAUUUACACAUGCUCAGAAACAAAAAUAUGCAAACUAAUAAUAAAAUACAUGUACUUUAUUAAGACUUACAUAGACAUGUCAUAAAGAUACAACUUUAUAAAGGUUUGCAGUAUUGUCAACAUAAAUCAUAUUUGUAAAUCAAGGAAUUGAGGUUUAACCUUCAUAUUACACUAUCAGUUUAAUCAUUAACAAUAUGAACAAACCAACUUUCAUUUUAUAUAUCUUUUUAGAUUCAGAAUUAAAAAACAUAUGAAACAUGAGACUCAAUACUUGAUAUUUUUUCUAUACAGGGUAAAAUAUGUUUCCCCAUACCACCCAGUUUCCCUUUUACAAGACUUUAAUAGAACUGAAAAGUUUUUUUGCCAAAAUUCAAGCCGAUUCUAGAUUUAUUUUCCUCCUAUUUAAGACCCAGAAUAAAUACCAGUGCAAAUAUAAGGUUAUAGUCCAAAUCUUUUCCUGCCAUAUAUUUUAACUUGAAUAUCUUGAAAAGGAAUUCCAUAACCUUCCAAAGAAGUUGAUUUUGUAUUAAAAAGUAUUGGUCACCGUACUUUUUUCACGCUACAGGUUGCGCAAAAUUGUCAGAUUUUGUAUAGAUUAUUCAUGGAAAAUCAAAUUUUUGGUGAUAAACGAAACGUAUAUAAGAACUUUAAGAUAAAAUGUGAGAAUAUUGCUCUUAUAACAUGCUUUCAGAUAAGCAAAAGAAAAAUUGGGUCACCGAACUUGUUUUCCUGCUACAUAUCGAAAUAGGUAAAUUCAUAACACUUUCUAUUGUAAAAAUGACUAUCUGAGUUAUCUCCCCUUAUUUGGCAAAGUUUGAAAAAAUCAAAUUUAAGGUGGCUCGUUGGUACAAAUAUUUUAGCAAAAAAUUAAAACUUUCUUUUUUCAUUAUAAAUUUUAUUUAUUACACUAUUAGUAGUUACUUUAUGAUAUGGUAAAAACAAUAAAAAAAUUAUUUGGUUUGGCCCCAGAUAUCUUUAAAAAUUGAAGAAGCUCCAAUUUAUCUCCCUUUGGUGAAAAAAAUGCCAUUUUAUGGCCUUAAAUUUGAAAUAUCUUUUUUAACUCAUCGGUGACCUAUAUUUUUAUAUUGUUUCAAAUAUCGUACAUAACCAAAUAAUUGUAAAAUUAAGGGAUUUUUAUAUUAGGUUGUUUUUUUAUUUCGAUUUU